UACGUAGGGAGCAAGCGUUGUCCGGAUUUAUUGGGCGUAAAGAGCGUGUAGGCGGCUGGGUAGGUCCGUUGUGAAAACUCGAGGCUCAACCUCGAGACGCCGAUGGAAACCCUCCAGCUAGAGUCCGGAAGAGGAGAGUGGAAUUCCUGGUGUAGCGGUGAAAUGCGCAGAUAUCAGGAGGAACACCGAUGGCGAAGGCAGGUCUCUGGGCCGAUACUGACGCUGAGGAGCGAAAGCGUGGGGAGCGAACAGG
rnacentral:rRNA from 1 species